rnacentral:rRNA from 1 species
UACAGUGACUGCAAGCGUUAUUCGGAUUCACUGGGCGUAAAGGGUGCGCAGGCGGUUGGGUGUGUCAGAUGUGAAAUCCCGAGGCUUAACCUCGGAACUGCGUCUGAAACUACUCGACUAGAGUACUGGAGAGGGAAACGGAAUUCACGGUGUAGCAGUGAAAUGCGUAGAUAUCGUGAGGAACACCAGAGGCGAAGGCGGUUUCCUGGACAGUUACCGACGCUCAGGCACGAAAGCAUGGGGAGCAAAAGGG